rnacentral:lncRNA from 1 species
CAACCACAUUUGUUUCUUUCUCACUCUUUUCACUUCUCUUUUAUAGUACUUUGUAUGCCAACUUUAUUGAAUAAACACCAAAUAUUCUUUCCAUAUGAAUCUAUCUUCCUUAUUAACAUUUAAAGGUGUUGUCUCCACUUCCGACAUUAGAUGUUUCACUAAAUCUCACUCCCAUUAAUAUAAACUCUAUCCAUCUUAGGACCCAUUCCCCUCCCUCACUAACAUUUUCCUUUUUUU